rnacentral:misc_RNA from 1 species
GCUUUGUUUGGGUCCAUAUAUUUUAAUGUGUGGUGGUACUUAAGACUAUAUAGUAGAAGUAUUCUCUAAUAUACACUACUGGUUUUAUCUCUGUUCUCUGGUAUACUGUGAGUCAUCUAGUGAGCACAAGUCUUCUAGACCGUAUUACUUGUAUGGAUUUUCAAGUAUCGUUAUUUUAUGUUUUUUGCUAGAUCUACAUAGUCUCUUAGAUACUUUUAAUUUUUUAAGACACCUCCUUUCAUUGUGAUUUCAAGUCGAA